AGUGUCCUACGGGACGCAGCAGUGGGGAAUAUUGCACAAUGGGGGGAACCCUGAUGCAGCGACGCCGCGUGAGUGAAGAAGUAUUUCGGUAUGUAAAGCUCUGUCAGCAGGGAAGAAGAAAGACGGUACCUGACCAAGAAGCCCCGGCUAAAUACGUGCCAGCAGCCGCGGUAAUACGUAUGGGGCAAGCGUUAUCCGGAUUUACUGGGUGUAAAGGGAACGCAGGCGGCCUGCCAAGUCUG
rnacentral:rRNA from 1 species